CGUAGGGGCGAGCGUUGUCCGGAAUUAUUGGGGCGUAAAGGGCGCGCAGGCGGUCUCUUAAGUCUGAUGUGAAAGGCCACGGCUCAACCGUGGGAUGGCAUUGGAAACUGGGGGACUUGAGUGCAGGAGAGGGGAGCGGAAUUCCCGGUGUAGCGGUGAAAUGCGUAGAGAUCGGGAGGAACACCAGUGGCGAAGGCGGCUCUCUGGCCUGUAACUGACGCUGAGGCGCGAAAGCGUGGGGGAGCGAACAGGAUU
rnacentral:rRNA from 1 species